UUGGGGGGAAAGAUGGCCUCUGCUUGCAAGCUAUCGCUUAANGAUGAGUCCGCGUCCCAUUANCUANUUGGCGGGGUAACGGCCCACCAAGGCAACGAUGGGUAGCCGGUCUGAGAGGAUGACCGGCCACACUGGAACUGGAACACGGUCCAGACUCCUACGGGAGGCANCAGUGGGGAAUAUUGCGCAAUGGGCGAAAGCCUGACGCANCGACGCCGCGUGAGGGAUGAAGGUUCUCGGAUCGUAAACCUCUGUCAGGGGGGAAGAAACCCCCUCGUGUGAAUAAUGCGAGGGCUUGACGGUACCCCCAAAGGAAGCACCGGCUAACUCCGUGCCANCAGCCGCGGUAAUACGGAGGGUGCAAGCGUUAAUCGGAAUCACUGGGCGUAAAGCGCACGUANGCGGCUUGGUAAGUCAGGGGUGAAAUCCCGCAGCCCAACUGUGGAACUGCCUUUGAUACUGCCAGGCUUGAGUACCGGAGAGGGUGGC
rnacentral:rRNA from 1 species